rnacentral:rRNA from 1 species
UGGGGGAUAUUGGACAAUGGGGGAAACCCUGAUCCAGCGAUGCCGCGUUAGGGAAGAAGGAUUUCGGAUUGUACACCUCUGUGGAGGGGGACGAUAAUGACGGUACCCCUUUAGGAAGCCACGGCUAACUACGUACCAGCAGCCGCGGUAAUACGUAGGUGGCGAGCGUUGUCCGGAAUUACUGGGUGUAAAGGGAGUGUAGGCGGGAAAGCAAGUCAGAAGUGAAAACUAUGGGCUUAACCCAUAGCCUGCUUUUGAAACUGUUUUUCUUGAGUGAAGUAGAGGCAAGCGGAAUUCCUAGUGUAGCAGUGAAAUGCGUAGAUAUUAGGAGGAACACCAGUGGCGAAGGCGGCUUGCUGGGCUUUUACUGACGCUGAGGCUCGAAAGCGUGGGGAGCAAACAGG